AGAGUAAAAGCGAGUUCGUUAAGUGUUUGCUGAACGGGGAGUUGUCAGCAAAACGAAAGCAUUAUUGCUGCGGUUCACGCUUUGCAUCCCGCU
rnacentral:ncRNA from 1 species